rnacentral:rRNA from 1 species
GGGAAAAGAAGGAGGACGGGUGCGGCGACGAGGACGGAGGGAGAGGAAGAAGGUGGAGGGGAGGGGUAACUGCGACGGAUGGAGAGGGAGAGGAAGGCGGAGGAAGCGGUACCCGCGAGGGGUGGAGAGGGGAGGAAGGUGGACUUCGGCACGAUCGACGCCCUGGGGCUCGCGGCACGACGCUGCCCGUAGCCCCCCACGACCUGGAGGCCACCGGCUCGACGCUGCCUGAAGAGAUCACAGCUCACGACCUUGGUCGCUAUAGGCUACGAUGAUGGCCGAAACAGCUCACGACCUUGGUCGAAGUAAAAAACAACCUUGAACGAAAAAAAAGACGAUGUUGGUACAAAACAAAAACGACCUUGACCGGGUACGAAAACGAUGGUGGGGGGCGGGUUUAAAAACGAUGAUCCACUAAAAACGACGUUGGCUACUUGGUAAAACGAUGUUGGCAAAACUAAAAAACAAUGAUGGCCACAAACAGCUAAAAAACGAUGUAUGUAGAAGACAAAAAAGGUCAGAAAAAACGAUGUUGGUAUAAAACUAAAACGACCUUGACUUCUGUAAAAAACGAUGUAGGUGGGUGCCGCCACAACGAGUUGCCGCCGCUAUCAAAAAAAAAAGAUGUUGGCAGAGCCUAAAAACGAUGAUGGCCUCUACGGUAAACGAUGGUGGCCUCAAAAACGAUGAUGGUCUCAGAAGUACCUUUGUAGUUCUCAAAAACGAUAGUGGGAAACAAAAACGACCUUGGUAGGAUUUUAAAACGAUGGUGGCAUAAAACUAAAACGACCUUGGCCGUAAAAAGUGAAGCCACAGCCACUACUUCCGCCCACCACAAAACCAAGCGGCCGCCGCCGCUCCGACGCUCGCGGCCGCUGCUCGUCCCCGUCGCCACCAGGUUCGCUCUCUUCGCGUACGGUCUCACGCCCUAGGGCGCUCGCCGCCACCGCAGACGAAAAACACAGAGGAGAAAAAAGGGUACCCCUCCUACUGCUAUCCUCUACACCCCGUCUAGACUGCCAAUGCGUACAGGUCUAGCUCACCGAGACCAACCUGGCCGGCUUUGCAAGGCGGCCACGCGGCCGCGUCUCAUGGCGGGAAAGUCAUAAUGUUAUAUUUGAUGUACGUCCACAUAAAAUCUCCUAUCUAAGUGAGUAAAACGAAGCAUGCAUAAAAUAUAACCUUAGAGAUUUUUCCGAAUAUAAAUCCUUGCCUCCUUCAUCAAUUCUCCGAUUGUCAUGGAAGCCGGCUGGUUACUAGUUUGAAGCUAAGAUGCGAAACACAAAAGUAUUUCCGUUUUAUAAGAAAGAUACAAUCCAUUAUAAAAACAGCUAUCGCUCCGCAGAUGCUACUGUAGCAGUUAUAAUGUUCGGCAACUGAAUCAGAGAAUCUACAAGUAUCCCAUCUUACACCCACGCAUACAAGUGCGAAAUACGUCCUCCCUCGCUGAAGAAGAGCGAAAUACGGUGGGUUUUGGAACAGAGCGAAGUCGCAGCGAUGCUUACCUGGUUGGGUUCAUUGAAGUACCUCCACGUAUGGAUGUCGCCCGUAUCGAUCUACCUCGAACACACGCACACACGCGAUGCCCCUACGCUGGCACCGACCCCGCGUGGGUGUCCUGCGCCUCCCGGGCUGGUUUCGAGCUCGAAGAGGUACCGGUACCGGUACCGAAAGUCCGAGCUUGUACGUUUACGUCAAAAAACGUCAUUGCAAAAAACUACACUGAAAAACGUUGUAGCUGUCACAACGUUUGCCGCCGCCGCUUGCCGUCAACACAAAGACGCUCUACGUAACUGUUGCCGCCGUAAAGAGGUGUGGUAAAAGUAAUGUUAAAAAAACGUUGCAAGAUAUACAACGUUUUCAAGAAAGUGU